rnacentral:rRNA from 1 species
UAAACGGCGGCCGUAACUAUAACGGUCCUAAGGUAGCGAAAUUCCUUGUCGGGUAAGUUCCGACCUGCACGAAUGGCAUAACGAUGGCCACACUGUCUCCUCCCGAGACUCAGUGAAGUUGAAAUGUUUGUGAUGAUGCAAUCUACCCGCGGCUAGACGGAAAGACCCCAUGAACCUUUACUGCAGCUUUGCAUUGAACUGUGAACCGAUUUGUGUAGGAUAGGUGGGAGGCAGAGAAGAGGCCACGCCAGUGGUCUUGGAGCCGGCCUUGAAAUACCACCCUGAUUUGUUUGCGGUUCUAACCACGGACAGUGAUCCUGUCUUGGGACCGUGCAUGGUAGGCAGUUUGACUGGGGCGGUCUCCUCCUAAAGGGUAACGGAGGAGUACGAAGGUACGCUAGGUACGGUCGGAAAUCGUGCUGAUAGUGCAAUGGCAAAAGCGUGCUUGACUGCGAGAGCAACAACUCGAGCAGAUGCGAAAGCAGGUCAUAGUGAUCCGGUGGCUCUGAAUGGAAGGGCCAUCGCUCAACGGAUAAAAGGUACUCUGGGGAUAACAGGCUGAUACCGCCCAAGAGUUCAUAUCGACGGCGGUGUUUGGCACCUCGAUGUCGGCUCAUCUCAUCCUGGGGCUGUAGUCGGUCCCAAGGGUAUGGCUGUUCGCCAUUUAAAGAGGUACGUGAGCUGGGUUUAAAACGUCGUGAGACAGUUUGGUCCCUAUCUGCCGUGGGCGUUGGAAGAUUGACGGGGGCUGCUCCUAGUACGAGAGGACCGGAGUGGACGCACCUCUGGUGUACCGGUUGUCACGCCAGUGGCAUUGCCGGGUAGCUAAGUGCGGAAGAGAUAACCGCUGAAAGCAUCUAAGCGGGAAACUUGCCUGAAGAUGAGUCUUCCCGGAGGUAAAACCUCCCUCAAGAGUCGUCCGAGACCAGGACGUCGAUAGGUCAGGUGUGUAAGCGCUGUGAGGCGUUGAGCUAACUGAUACUAAUUGCUCGUGAGGCUUGAUCCU